CAAUAGCGUAUAUUAAAGUUGUUGCAGUUAAAAAGCUCGUAGUUGGACUUCUGAUUCGAAAGAUCGGUCCGCCGCAAGGCGAGCACUGAUUCUUCGAGUCUUCCUCUCGUAGUUGUUUGGCGCACUUGAUUGGGUGCCAGAUGAAUAUGGGACCUUUACUUUGAAAAAUUAGAGUGUUCAAGCAGGCUUACGCCGUUGAAUCCGUUAGCAUGGAAUAAUAGAAUAGGACCUCGGUUCUAUUUUGUUGGUUUUGAGAGCUGGGGCAGCGAUUGAUAGGGACGGAUGGGGGCGUCCGAACUUUACUGUCAGAGGUGAAAUUCUUAGAUCGGUCAAAGGCGAACUACUGCGAACGCAUUCGCCAAGAAUGUUUUCUUUAAUCAAGAACGAAAGUUAGGGGAUCGAAGACGAUCAGAUACCGU
rnacentral:rRNA from 1 species